GCAUGCAAGUCGGACGGUAGGGGGAGUUUUCGGAUUCUCCUGAGAGUGGCGAACGGGUGAGUAACACGUAGGUAAUCUACCCUUAGAUGCGGGAUAGUCCAUGGAAACAUGGGGUAAUACCGUAUGAGGCCUAUUGGGGGGAGCCCUGGUGGGUUAAAGGUGCAAUUGUGCUGUCUAGGGAUGAGCCUGCGGUCCAUUAGUUAGUUGGUGGGGUAAAGGCCUACCAAGGCUGUGAUGGAUAGCCGGCCUGAGAGGGUGUACGGUUACACUGGGACUGAGACACGGCCCAGACUCCUACGGGAGGCAGCAGCUAAGAAUCUUCCGCAAUGGGCGAAAGCCUGACGGAGCGACGCCGCGUGAGCGAAGAAGGCCGAAAGGUUGUAAAGUUCUUUUCUACAUGAAGAAUAAUGUGGGGAGUGGAAAGCCCUACAGAUGACGUUAGUGUAGGAAUAAGCUCCGGCCAAUUACGUGCCAGCAGCCGCGGUAACACGUAUGGGGCGAGCGUUGUUCGGAAUUAUUGGGCGUAAAGGGCGUGUAGGCGGUUUCAUAAGCUUGGUGUAAAAGGCUCUGGCUUAACCAGAGUUUAGCGCUGAGAACUGUGGGACUAGAGUUCAGGAGGGGAAGCUGGAAUUCCAGGUGUAGGGGUGAAAUCUGUAGAUAUCUGGAAGAACACCGGUGGCGAAGGCGAGCUUCUAGCCAUGGACUGACGCUGAGGCGCGAAAGCGUGGGGAGCGAACAGGAUUAGAUACCCUGGUAGUCCACGCUGUGAACGAUGUGCACUAGGCGUUGGGUGUGAAUGAACACUCGGUGCCGUAGCUAACGCGUUAAGUGCACCGCCUGGGGAGUAUGCCCGCAAGGGUG
rnacentral:rRNA from 1 species